rnacentral:rRNA from 1 species
UACGGAGGGUGCGAGCGUUAAUCGGAAUUACUGGGCGUAAAGCGCGCGUAGGCGGUUCGAUAAGUCAGAUGUGAAAUCCCCGGGCUCAACCUGGGAAUGGCAUUUGAUACUGUCAGACUGGAGUGUGGUAGAGGGAAGUGGAAUUCCGCAUGUAGCGGUGAAAUGCGUAGAUAUGCGGAGGAACACCAGUGGCGAAAGCGGCUUCCUGGACCAACACUGACGCUGAGGUGCGAAAGCGUGGGGAGCAAACAGG